ACCUGGUUGAUCCUGCCAGUAGCAUACGCUUGUCUCAAAGAUUAAGCCAUGCAUGUCUAAGUAUAAACAAAUCUAUACGUGAAACUGCGAAUGGCUCAUUAUAUCAGUUAUAGUUUAUUUGAUGGUCCUUACUACUCGGAUAUCCGUAGUAAUUCUAGAGCUAAUACGUGCACCAAAUCCCGACUCACGAAGGGAUGUAUUUAUUAGAUGGAAACCAAUGCGGGUUCGCCCGGAUUCAGGUGAUUCAUAAUAACUUUCGGAUCGGCUUGCCGAUGCAUCAUUCAAGUUUCUGCCCUAUCAGGUCUGGAUGGUAGGGUAUUGGCCUACCAUGCCUUUAACGGGUAACGGAGAAUUAGGGUUCGAUUCCGGAGAGGGGGCCUGAGAAAUGGCCACCACAUCCAAGGAAGGCAGCAGGCGCGUAAAUUACCCAAUCCUGACACAGGGAGGUAGUGACAAUAAAUAACACCGCAGGGCUUUUUAAAGUCUUGCGUUAGGAAUGAGAACAAUUUAAACCCCUUAUCGAGGAUCAAUUGGAGGGCAAGUCUGGUGCCAGCAGCCGCGGUAAUUCCAGCUCCAAUAGCGUAUACUAAAGUUGUUGCAGUUAAAAAGCUCGUAGUUGAAUUUCUGGAUGUGAAAGGUGGUCGGCACCUCACGGUGUCUGCACCUACCAUUCGCGUCCAUCCUCGGGAGGAACAUGUGGACACUUUAGUGGGUCUGCAUGGGAAUCUCGUCAUUUACUGUGAGCAAAAUAGAGUGUUCAAAGCAGGCUUACGCCGUUGAAUAUAUUAGCAUGAAUAUAA
rnacentral:rRNA from 1 species